rnacentral:rRNA from 1 species
CCCGGUAAACGGCGGCCGUAACUAUAACGGUCCUAAGGUAGCGAAAUUCCUUGUCGGGUAAGUUCCGACCUGCACGAAUGGCGUAAUGAUGGCCAGGCUGUCUCCACCCGAGACUCAGUGAAAUUGAACUCGCUGUGAAGAUGCAGUGUACCCGCGGCAAGACGGAAAGACCCCGUGAACCUUUACUAUAGCUUGACACUGAACAUUGAGCCUUGAUGUGUAGGAUAGGUGGGAGGCUUUGAAGUGUGGACGCCAGUCUGCAUGGAGCCGACCUUGAAAUACCACCCUUUAAUGUUUGAUGUUCUAACGUGGACCCGUAAUCCGGGUUGCGGACAGUGUCUGGUGGGUAGUUUGACUGGGGCGGUCUCCUCCUAAAGAGUAACGGAGGAGCACGAAGGUUGGCUAAUCCUGGUCGGACAUCAGGAGGUUAGUGCAAUGGCAUAAGCCAGCUUGACUGCGAGCGUGACGGCGCGAGCAGGUGCGAAAGCAGGUCAUAGUGAUCCGGUGGUUCUGAAUGGAAGGGCCAUCGCUCAACGGAUAAAAGGUACUCCGGGGAUAACAGGCUGAUACCGCCCAAGAGUUCAUAUCGACGGCGGUGUUUGGCACCUCGAUGUCGGCUCAUCACAUCCUGGGGCUGAAGUAGGUCCCAAGGGUAUGGCUGUUCGCCAUUUAAAGUGGUACGCGAGCUGGGUUUAGAACGUCGUGAGACAGUUCGGUCCCUAUCUGCCGUGGGCGCUGGAGAACUGAGGGGGGCUGCUCCUAGUACGAGAGGACCGGAGUGGACGCAUCACUGGUGUUCGGGUUGUCAUGCCAAUGGCACUGCCCGGUAGCUAAAUGCGGAAGAGAUAAGUGCUGAAAGCAUCUAAGCACGAAACUUGCCCCGAGAUGAGUUCUCCCUGAGACUUAGAGUCUCCUGAAGGAACGUUGAAGACGACGACGUUGAUAGGCCGGGUGUGUAAGCGCAGCGAUGCGUUGAGCUAACCGGUACUAAUGAACCGUGAGGCUUAACCUUAC